ensembl:lncRNA
CGGAUGUUGACAACCGUGACAUUGUUUACUGUGGAGACGUGCGUUUGAUUUGUUUCUGUUCCGGAGUAUUCUGUCACGUCGCGAGACGUAAGGGAGUAGGGUACGGAAGCAGGCACCAUGCAUCAGAUGUGGCUGUUCUCUAUGGCGCAGUGUGUGCUGUCGGUGUCCGUGAUCGCCUUGAAUGUUAGGCUGUGUAUGCGUUUGGAUUCGGGUAGCCAUUUAAAGAGUGUUUCCUCCUGUCUAAAGCUGUGUUUGGGCUGGGUGGGAGCUAUCGGGGGUGCCAUGGACAUUCCAGUCAACAUGUUGCUGAACAUGAGGAGCACUCAGUGCCUGUACACGUGCAUGAUGCUGGUGUGCUUCCCCCUGCUGGUCAGACAGUUCACCGUGUGGCUGCUGCUGCUUCUCGUCCUCAACACGCACCUACAUUGCCGAUUAGGACACAGGUAUGCAGGCUUGGUAACACGUCGGCGAAUGCUGUGUCUGGUGCUCCUCAGCUGGCUUUGCUCUGUUGUAACUGCCUUCGCACAGUUCAUUGUGUGCAACUCAGUGGACACUUGGGGAACGGCCGGGCUGGGAUUCAUCUGGCCCAACCAGACUACCCAUAAGCCACACCCGCAAGCCCCAUCAGUGAUUGGCGAGUACCUUCCUUAUGGCGGAUUCCUGUCCAAGUUCCUGGUGGAGGACAUGAAAAACUUCACCUACGCAGAGAUUCACAGCAGCCACUGGGGCGUCUGUGCUCAUGACACUGUCCUUAACCCAGCCUUUUUGGUCUAUGUCUAUGAUGUUGCUGUUUAUUACAUUCCCCUACUUAUUCUGCUGGGUGUAUAUGUAGAUCUUAGCUGUGUGAUGUCACGACAGACUGUGAUAAGUCUCUCUGAGCUCCAGAUGAAAACCUCAGGCUGGUCUCGCUCUCUGGUUCUGUCCUUGUGUCUCCUGGUUCUCCUGUACCUACCUAUACACACCAUCCAUGCUUUGCAUCUCUUUGCCCCCAGCAGCCAAUGGCCUCUUUGGGCAAAUUAUGUGGCCUCUAUCCUUUUCCAGACUUAUGGUUUGGUUCCUCCCGUCCUUUUCAGUUCUUCUCCUCAAAAAGUGACUACAGGUAGUGAAUCUCUGGCUCUAAAAACAGCUACCUCACGGCUGAAGUCUAUUUCCCCGACACCCUUGGAGUUCUGUUUGCCUAAGCCAAUGCCAAAAGGCAAAACAUGACAAGAGGUGUGAUACCAUGAUGAUGAUUUUCACAAAACCCAAAAUCCAAAUCCUGAUCCUAACCAAUUAUACAAUUUUCAAUACUCCGAUUUUAAAUUUCACCCGAGUGACCAUGAUGACUGCUCCAUGAAAAUGAUGUAAGCUUUUCUUUCCAUCGUUUCUGAAUAAUUAUGAUUUCUGCCAGCUAGCUGUAAUCCUCAAAUUAAUAUUCCUCUGACAACCACCUCAAAUAACAGUAAUGGUGCUGUCCUAAUCGAAUGCCACAGAAGGAUUAACUGGCUACAUGUACUAUAGCCCAGUGAUGAAGACUGAUCUGAGCAUGUUUAAUUAAACCAAGAGUAAUAAUAACAUCUACGAUCGGGGCUGUAAUAAUUGUAUUCAGACAUAAUUGACCACAGAUUUCAUUGCUAUUUGAUUAAAUGUGUCUUUCUUGUGUGUAGCUUGAAUAAAAUGCAUAGCUCACCACUAAUUGGGUUCUUUUUUAUAUUGGAAAAAAAUGACCCUGUCUGAUAUUCAAAUUGCACAAAGGUCUUGGCUCCUUUCCCUCCCAGUCACUCUCCAUCUCUUUUUUUAGGGGGAAAUCUCUGGCCAAGUUCCUCGUUUGUCCUGUGCUUUUCACAUUUCACUGUGUUAUGAUGAGUGGUCCCUUCUGACUAUUGCUUCAUCUGUUUCAACUGUUCAUCUCUCUCUCUCUUUCUGAAGCUUUUUCUGUCUCACUGAAGUUUAGGCCACACGGGUCCCUCGCUGCACAGCGCUACUGAAAGGUGGAGCCAAGAGAAAAAAGGAAAAGCUCUCUUAGAUGGAGAGGCCCAUUCGAUUGUACUCUGUGCAUGAAAAACCUUUUUGUUCCCUGCUGGCUAGAACAGCUCCCUGCCAUUACUUUACCACUUCAGUCGAUCCAUAGGAUUUAAUCUUUGCCAGGCUUUCUGCAUGAAUGAGUUCACUUCAAAGUAAGAAAAAAAAAAUCAGGUAACUAACAUUCAGAGUGCGACUUAAGACAUCAGCAUCCAAAGCUGAGGUACUUGCUGUAUGUCAUAUCUAAACUAUUUAAAUCGGCAUAAAUGCAUUAGGUAUGUGCUUAUAUUGUAUAUAGCUAUGAUUCUAUCCACUGGAUGACGUGCUUAUUCUUUAUAUCUGAAGGUGUAAUGCUACCACAGUCCUUUCUAGGAUUCAAGUCUAAAAAGCUUCAAGGAAUGAAUAAAAACAGACACUUCUGCUAGGAACAAAAAUGAGAGUUCAGAAAAAGGAAAAUUAAACUUAUACUUAAACUGUAAGCAUUUUCUUAACAUAAAACUUCAUUAUGAUAACAUUUGCGUUAGACAGAUAACCAAACCUAGCAUGUCUUAUGCACUGUUAAAAAUUUGCUAUCUCUCUUAUUUCAAUAAUAACUUGUUGCAAUAAUAUAUUUUUAACUGUUGAUCAGUUCUGCACAUCGGCUUGGAGGAAUUUUAGACCGUUCCUCAGUACAGAACAGUUUCAACUCUGGGAUGUUGGUGGGUUUCCUCACGUGAACUGCUUGCUUCAGGUUCUUCCACAGGAUCUCUAUUGGAUUAAGGUCAGGACUUUGACUUGACCAUUGCAAAACAUUAACUUUAUUCUUCUUUAACCAUUCUGUGGUAGAAUGACUUAUGUGCUUAGGGCUGUUGUCUUGCUGCAUGACCUGCUUUCUCUUGAGAUUCAGUUCACUGACAUAUGUCCUGACAUUUUCCUUUAGUAUUCGCUGUUGUACAUUAAUUCAGAACUGAUUGUUCCAUCAAUGAUAGAGGUCGUCCAGGCCCAGAUGCAGCAAAACAGGUCCAAACCAUGAUAGUACCACCAGCAUGUUUCACAGAUGGGAUAAGGUUCUUAUGCUGGAAUACAGUGGUUUCCUAUCUCCAAACAUAAUGCUUCUCAUUUAAACCAAAAAGUUUUAUUUGGCCUAUUGGAAAAAUAUUUUUCCAAUAGCCUACUGGCUUAUCCACAGAGAAGGCCAGCAAUGUUCUUUCUAGAGAGCAGUGGUUUUCUCCUUGCAUCCCUGCUAUGCACACCAUUGUUGUUUAAUGUUCUCCUGAUGUCUGGAGUUUGUCCAUCAAUUUCGACGAAGACCGAAGUUUCCAUUUCCGCCUCCAUUAUGGAGAACACAAACUGGGACUCGACUUGUGCAUGAAUUGGAUUAUAGUGUGGAAGACUUGCGCACUUUCCCAGUGACCACCACGAUCCAGUGGCAAGACUGAGUCAAGACGACUGAAGAUGGCCCCCGGGCGCAGUGAUUCAUACACCCAUUCAUACACUACGGUCACUUUGGAAACGCCAAUCCGCCUACCAUGCACGUCUUUGGACUGGGGUACCGGAGUACCCGGAGGAAACCCCCACAGUACGGGGAGAACAUGCAAACUCCACACACACAGGGCCACAAUGGGAAUCGAACCUCCAACCCUGGAGGUGUGAGGCGAAUGUGCUAACCACUAAGCCUCUCCUGAUGGUAGACUCAUGAACAUUAACAUUAGCCAAUGUGAGAGUCCUGUAGAUGCUUAGAAGAUACCCUGGGUUCUUUUGUAAUCUUGCAGACUAUUACACGUCUUGCUCUUGGAGUGAUCUUUGUUGGUCGAACACACCUGGGGAGGGUAAUAAUGCUCUUGAAUUUCCUCCAUUUGUACAAAAUCUAUCUCACUGUGGAUUGGUGGAGUCCAAACUCUUUAGAGAUAGUUUGGUAACCUUUUCCAGCCUGAUGAGCAUCAACAACUCUCUUUCUGAUGUUCCCAGAAAUCUCCUCUGUUCGUGCCAUGAGCCACUUCACAGACAUGUGUUUGUGAAGAUCAGACUUUGAUAGAUGCCUAAAACAGGUUGCUCACUCACACCUGAUUGUCAUCCCAUUGCUUGAAAUCACCUGACUCUAAUUUCACCUUCAAAUUAACUGCUAAUUGUAGAGGUUCACAUAUUUUUGCCACUCACAGACAUUUGUCUCAUUUGUUUAAUUGGGUUCUCUUUAUUUACUUUAGGACUUGUGUGAAAAUCCUGAUGAUGUAGAAAAUCCUAAAGGGUUCACAAACUUUCAAGCACCACUGUAUAUGUUGAAGCAUAAAUUCCAUAACUUGUGUUAGUAUUAAUUAUAAAAAAAAGUCUGCAUAAAGUCUAUGUAAAAGAAACACAUUGAACUAUUUUUUUCUAACCCGUUUAGGAACAUUAUGUUGGGUUUGGAGUGCAAAAAACAGGAAUUUUAUAUAUUGGUACUCUUCAAAGAUGAUGUUUUUUUCUUCUGUUUUUAUUCCAUUUCUGAAUCAUAAAUAAAAUAUUAGUGGCAGUGGGACCUGACUUCAUAUAGUGGACUCAGAAUACCUGACUAUUCCUUGCUCAUCCCAUCACCUCAGAUAACUUACAAAUAUUACAGAUUAAAAAAACAUUUAAAACCAUUAUAACUGAUGUUAACUAAAAUCUGGGCUUUGUCUGCUUUAGGAUAUGAAAGUAUAAUGUUCUCAAAACUACCACUGAAAUCAUGUUGGUUUAUAAGCGAAUCACUAAACCAAGGUGGCUUCUGAGAUGGGUUCAGCUUUAUGCCAGGCCUAAGUAAUGUCAGCACAUAUCUCCCUGGCUCAGUAUGCAAGUUUAAUUAAUAGAUCUCGUAGGAUUGAGUCAAAAUGACUAGACGUGUAAUAAAACAUUCUUCUAGCCAUAUGAAGGGCUUCAUUAGUUCUAAUGAGUAAAACCGAUGAAGCUCUUU